GACAGAGGUGCCAAGCGUUAGGCGGAAUCACUGGGCUUAAAGCGUGUGUAGGUGGAUGUCUAAGUACCUUGUGAAAUCCCAUAGCUCAACUAUGGAACUGCUCGGUAUACUGGACGUCUUGAGCCACUUAGGGGCUACCGGAACAAAUGGUGGAGCGGUGAAAUGCGUAGAUAUCAUUUGGAACGCCAAUGGUGAAAAACAGGUAGCUGGGAGUGUGCUGACACUGAGAACACGAAAGCCCAGGGGAGCGAACGGG
rnacentral:rRNA from 1 species